UCUGCAUGGAGCCGACCUUGAAAUACCACCCUUUAAUGUUUGAUGUUCUAACGUGGACCCGUGAUCCGGGUUGCGGACAGUGUCUGGUGGGUAGUUUGACUGGGGCGGUCUCCUCCUAAAGAGUAACGGAGGAGCACGAAGGUUGGCUAAUCCUGGUCGGACAUCAGGAGGUUAGUGCAAUGGCAUAAGCCAGCUUGACUGCGAGCGUGACGGCGCGAGCAGGUGCGAAAGCAGGUCAUAGUGAUCCGGUGGUUCUGAAUGGAAGGGCCAUCGCUCAACGGAUAAAAGGUACUCCGGGGAUAACAGGCUGAUACCGCCCAAGAGUUCAUAUCGACGGCGGUGUUUGGCACCUCGAUGUCGGCUCAUCACAUCCUGGGGCUGAAGUAGGUCCCAAGGGUAUGGCUGUUCGCCAUUUAAAGUGGUACGCGAGCUGGGUUUAGAACGUCGUGAGACAGUUCGGUCCCUAUCUGCCGUGGGCGCUGGAGAACUGAGGGGGGCUGCUCCUAGUACGAGAGGACCGGAGUGGACGCAUCACUGGUGUUCGGGUUGUCAUGCCAAUGGCACUGCCCGGUAGCUAAAUGCGGAAGAGAUAAGUGCUGAAAGCAUCUAAGCACGAAACUUGCCCCGA
rnacentral:rRNA from 1 species